GAUGAACGCUAGCGGGAGGCCUAACACAUGCAAGCCGAGCGGUAUUGUUUCUUCGGAAAUGAGAGAGCGGCGUACGGGUGCGUAACACGUGUGCAACCUGCCUUUAUCUGGGGGAUAGCCUUUCGAAAGGAAGAUUAAUACUCCAUAACAUAUUGAACGGCAUCGUUUAAUAUUGAAAGCUCCGGCGGAUAGAGAUGGGCACGCGCGAGAUUAGCUAGUUGGUGAGGUAACGGCUCACCAAGGCGAUGAUCUUUAGGGGGCCUGAGAGGGUGAUCCCCCACAAUGGUACUGAGACACGGACCAGACUCCUACGGGAGGCAGCAGUGAGGAAUAUUGGUCAAUGGGUGCAAGCCUGAACCAGCCAUCCCGCGUGAAGGACGACUGCCCUAUGGGUUGUAAACUUCUUUUGUAUAGGGAUAAACCUACCCUCGUGAGGGUAGCUGAAGGUACUAUACGAAUAAGCACCGGCUAACUCCGUGCCAGCCGCCGCAGUAAUAC
rnacentral:rRNA from 1 species